UACGUAGGGGGCUAGCGUUGUCCGGAAUCAUUGGGCGUAAAGAGCGUGUAGGCGGCCCGGUAAGUCCGCUGUGAAAGUCGGGGGCUCAACCCUCGAAUGCCGGUGGAUACUGUCGGGCUAGAGUGCGGAAGAGGCGAGUGGAAUUCCUGGUGUAGCGGUGAAAUGCGCAGAUAUCAGGAGGAACACCAAUUGCGAAGGCAGCUCGCUGGAACGUGACUGACGCUGAGACGCGAAAGCGUGGGGAGCAAACAGG
rnacentral:rRNA from 1 species